rnacentral:rRNA from 1 species
AACGAACGCUGGCGGCAGGCUUAACACAUGCAAGUCGAACGGAGAUACGAUUUCGGUUGUAUCUUAGUGGCGAACGGGUGAGUAACGCGUGAACAACCUGACUCUUAGAGGGGGAUAACACUCGGAAACGGGUGCUAAUACCGCAUAAGACCACGACCCGGCAUCGGGAUGAGGUCAAAGGAGCAAUCCGCUGAGAGAGGGGUUCGCGUCCCAUUAGAUAGAUGGCGGGGUAACGGCCUACCAUGCCGACGAUGGGUAGCCGAGCUGAGAGGCUGAUCGGCCACACUGGAACUGAGACACGGUCCAGACUCCUACGGGAGGCAGCAGUGGGGAAUAUUGGGCAAUGGGCGCAAGCCUGACCCAGCAACGCCGCGUGAGGGAAGAAGGCUUUCGGGUUGUAAACCUCUGUCCUUGGUGACGAAACAAAUGACGGUAGCCAAGGAGGAAGCCCCGGCUAACUACGUGCCAGCAGCCGCCGUAA